rnacentral:lncRNA from 1 species
CUAGAAUGAGAAUGCACAGCAAGCGGCAGACAAUCACCCGGCAUUCGGCAUCUCUUUCUUUUCACGCGCUCCCUCGCUCCGCCUUUCUCCAGCUCUGCCUUCUCAGGCAGAUACAUCAGAUACCUUGUUUAUCCAUCUUCAGCUCCACUCUGAGGGCGCAGACGCACGAUUCCGGGAUCGGGUGCACCACGGCGAAGCCCAGGCGGGAGACGGCAGGAGCAGCUCAGAUGAAGAAACUGAAACCCACAGAGAUGAAGUAACAUCCUCAAGAUCAAAAGGUAACAAACGAUUGAGGCAGGAUUUGGAUAUUGCUCUACAUGACGGGAAAGCCUGUGCUCUUGGAAUUACAGUCAUAGUACAACAGAUCAAGUUCAAAGCAUCAUCUAAGUCAAGGAAAACCAGUAAAGAGGUUUGGAGAGACAAACAGGGUCAACUCCAGGCAUUUGGGUCAGCAGAAACGGCACGAUUGAGCAGCACUGUGACUAUAGGAUCAUGGAUCAGAGGCUGCUUCCUCUUUGGUUCUGGGCAUCAGCCUCAUGUCCACUCAAAGUAAGUGGCCCCUCUGAUUGGAAUCGGAGGUGCCUGGGUCAUCUCACAGAGCCAAACAAAUACAAUUAGCUAUUGCAAAGCCUUUUGGGAAUUAUUCCCAGUGUAAAUAAACACAUAACCAUAUAGCAAGAGCCUUGAUAAAGUCCAAAAACAUGCAAACUUGGAGUAUCUAAGAGAAAAGACCACAAUGUAAAUGAAAAACCAAAUAAACUCGGGCAAACCAUAGGAUAGGGCCCUGUCUGUGAUGGCCUGCAUAUGAUGAGCCAUAGAAAAAGGAUGGUGAAUUCUGGAUAAUAAGAAAUGUCAAUGAGAUGCAAGAACCACCUGUUUUAUGUAAAGCUCCAAAUAACCAGAUCACAGUGGACAGCCACUCAAAUAAUGCCUUCAUAAUACAGAGUAUUAUUGAGAAUAACUCAGUUCACAGAGAGCUUAAGGCAGCCAAUAUUUGAUAGCCUGUCAGAAAAAAACAGAACAGUAAUUAUAGAAAAGAAUCAUAUCCUCGGAAAAACAAAAAUUAAUCAAACUAAGUUUGUAAAGUCUAUCUUACAGACACAUUGUCUGGACUGGUCCUCUCAAAAAUACUGUUUUUUUUUAAUGCCAAUUUGUUUAGUUAAUGAUUUUUGUCUUAUUACUUCAAAACUGGAAAUAUCCUAUGACUCAUAAUAUCUUACAACCUUUCUACUUUCUUAAAGAAUCUCAAGUUUAUAAUCACAGGGGAUCGGAUUAUUUUUCAAAAAUUAAAUGGUGAUGUAAUGAUUUCUGUGUCUAUUGUAGAAAAGUCAACCUUAUUACAGCUGCAACAAUGGCAUUAAGAAAUAUGAGUAAUUCCAAUCAACUUGAGAUAAUGUCUAAUCAAACACAAAUACAACUGGUAAAUUUCAUUAAAUAGCAUGGAGAUUAAAUUAAAACACUAUUAUGUAAUAAAAACCUUUAGUGGUACUAAAAUUUUAGAAUAGUUCAGAUAUACAGAAAAAUUUCAAAGAUACACAGAGUUCCCAUUUUUUUCCUAUUACUAACCUCUCAUAUUUGUCACAACUAAUGAAUAUUCAAUAGAGUAUUAUUAACUAAAGCCUAUACAUUUAUUUAGAUUUCCUUAGUUUUUAGCUAACAUUCUUUUUCUUUGUUCCAGGAUCCCAUCCGGGCCACCACAUUGAAUUUAUUUGUCAUUUUAGGUACCUCUUGGCUGUGAGUUUCUUAGACUUUCCUUGUUUUUGGUGACCCUGACAGUUUGAGGGAGUACUAGUCAGUCAGUUAUUUUUGCAGAAUGCCCUAAAUUUGAGUUUGGCUGAUGUUUUUCUUAGGGUUUGACUGGGGUUAUGGGUUUUGGGGAGGAAGACCACAGAGGUGAAGUACCAUUCUCACCAAAUUAUAUUAAAGGUACAUACCAUCAGCAUGCCUUAUACUAUUGAUGUGAACUUUGAUUGCCUGGCUGUGGUAGUGUUUGUCAUGUUUCUUCACUGUAAAGUUACUCUUCUCAUCACCCACUUUUCUGUACUGUACUCUUUGGAAGAAAGUCACUAUAUGCAUCCCAAAUUUAAGGAGUGGGAAGUUAUGCUCCACCCAUUUGUAAGCAGAAAAUCUACAUAAUUUGUUUGGCAUUCUUCUGCAUAGGAAAAUCAUCUCACUCUCCCAGUUAUUUAUUUAUUUGAUCUUUUUUUAUAUCAGUAUGGACUCAUGGGUAUUUCUUUUAUACUUUGGGUUAUAAUCCAAUACUAACACAAUAAAGAAAUUUUUAAUGGAGAUGCAUUCAAAUUCGUUGCUAAAAUGGGCCUGACACCUCUUGACCUUGGCUAAACAGAGAUUCUGGAUGGAGCAAAGCACUGUGACGUCAUGUGGACUUUGAAGGUUAAGAAACUACGGAUCAUCAGGACAUAUUUGCUCUUCCAUCUCACAGAGAAAAUGGGGAUAUACCUCCUCAUUCCAGGAAACUUUCUUCCUAUAUUUCUAAUAUAUCCAGGAUAAAAUUCAAUAUAUAUAGUCAGUAGCUUCAAAGUUAAGCAUAAUUUGUUUACUAGAAUUCUUAAGGCAGAUGUUGGAUCAUUAACUCAUUCUCUUAGAAAUAACUUUGGUGCUUAUAAGUAGGCAUCACAUAAUCUGAUACACUGAUAUUAUAUAUAUAAUCGUGAAAAACAUAUCAGAUUAUAUGAUAUCACAUAAUCUGAUAUAUGUGAUAUAUAAUCAGAUUAUGUGGUAUCAUAUAAUCUGAUAUAUAAAUGUUUUUCAUAAUUAUACAUAUAUUUCAAGUAUAAUUGUGAAAAACAUUUGCCAGUUUAAAGUUUAAUAUGUAGACAGAAUAAUGCCUGGAGGUAUAGGGAUAUAAUUGGGAAUUAGAGUAAUAAAAUAAAUAUUUUAAGUACUUACUACAUAUUACUCAUUAACACAAAAGUAACUUUACGUAUAAAAUGCAUGACAAGACUCCAUUAUAAAGAAGUGUCUGAAAGCUAUAGGGCAGAAAGGUAUAGAACACAGUAUAGACUAGAAGGAGAUAAAGACAAUCAGAAGAUUUUAUUCAUUCAUUUAUUCAACAAAAAUUUACAGAGUACCUCCAAUUAUCAGCAGCUGUGCUGAAGAUUAGGUAUAUUACCUACACAGUUACAAAUUUUGCUUUCAUGUAGUCUGCAGGAAGAGAGACAUUAAUCAAAGAAUGGCACUAUUGACACUUGUGCAGGAAAGGGUUACGUCAACAGGCCUGGGCUGCUCAAACCUUGCGUAUUCCCAGAGUCUCAAGACUGGUCUUGGCCUGGCUCCUGGGAAGAUUACUUCUGAGCCCUUGGCUGAGAUAGGAGUUUAUGCCAACAGUGUGAUUUAUGGCAAACACCUGUUUUUGUAUGCCUGAGGCUUUGGAUCAUGCUGUACCAAUUUGAUCUGAGGCCUGAAGACUGGUAGCUAAGGUGCUGCAUGCCUACAUGACUGACCUCCAGUAAAAACCCUGGACACAUGCCUCAAGUGAGUUUCGUUGGUUGGCAACACUUUACAUAUGUUGUCACACGUUGUUGCUGAGAAAAUUAAGUGUACUCCAUGUAAUGGCACUGGGAGAGGACAACUGGAAGCUGGUGCUUAAUUUCUCCUCUACUCCACGCUAUCCACCUUUUCACUUCGCUGAGUUUUUUCUGUAUCCUUUCAAUGUAAUAAACUUUAACCAU